rnacentral:rRNA from 1 species
GUGAGGAAUAUUGCGCAAUGGACGAAAGUCUGACGCAGCCAUGCCGCGUGAAGGAUUGACGGCCCUAUGGGUUGUAAACUUCUUUUGUAUAGGAAUAAACCCUCGUUCGUGAACGAGGCUGAAGGUACUAUAAGAAUAAGCACCGGCUAACUCCGUGCCAGCAGCCGCGGUAAUACGGAGGGUGCAAGCGUUAUCCGGAUUUAUUGGGUUUAAAGGGUCCGUAGGCGGAUCGUUAAGUCAGUGGUGAAAUCCUACCGCUCAACGGUAGAACUGCCAUUGAUACUGGCGAUCUUGAGUAUGUAUGAAGUUGGCGGAAUGUGUGGUGUAGCGGUGAAAUGCUUAGAUAUCACACAGAACACCGAUUGCGAAGGCAGCUGACUAAUACACAACUGACGAUGAGGGACGAAAGUGUGGGGAUCAAACAGGAUUAGAAACCCUAGUAGUCC